GGGGCUGUAGCUCAGUGGUAGAGCGCUUGCCUUGCAUGCAUGAGGCACUGGGUUCAAUCCUUAGCACCA
rnacentral:tRNA from 1 species